CUUUAGGUCCCUCUUAAAGAGCAUUCCCUACGUGUGUCGCCAGUUACGUUUCUCACUUUUCUAACCAUAGAAUUUGGAAUGGAUUGGUAUCACAAUACUAUUUUUUUCAUUAUUUCAUUAAUUUAUUCGAUCAUGUUGAGAACCUACCAUAUGCUAAGUUUAUGCUAGAUACCUAGUGAACAGGACAGUGACCUCUGCCCUCGUGGAGAAAAAGAAGACAGAUCAUAAAUAAGCUAUCACAAACCAUUUCAAAUUGUGAAAAGUGGCUGGGUGUGCUCACGCCUGUAAUCCCAGCACUUUGGGAGGCUGAGACAGGCGGAUCACUUGAGGCCAGGAGUUCGAGAUCAGCCUGGGCAACAUGGAGAGUGGAACUGGAAAGGAAGAGCUGAGAGGAGGAGAGGGUCCUGACUGGAGAGCGAGGGGAAGCAGCGAUUAAAACGCCUGAAAAGGGGACUCAGAUGGAAACAACUGGAAGGUCUAUAAAUGCGUACAUAAUACAACGGCCAACGUUACCCGAAUUUUGUUCAAAUGUGUUACAGAAAAGAGAGAAUCAUCCGUAAGAUGUCUGGGGGUGGCUGCUGCUUUAAGGAAACUGAUCUAAACCUUUCAACUCAGUUAUAACAUAAAACCCUGUUGAUUUUAGCCAAGCAAGAGUCUUUUCUGUUUGUUCUUGGAUAAGUCAGACACAGGCUGCUUUUAGAACUUCCUCUGGUGCCACUGUCCCCAAGGUUUCAAGGGCGGUGAAAAGAAUGUGGCAUGCAGUGACAGCAGUGUCAGUGCUGCUCAGUUCCUUGAUCCGUUCCUGCCAGCAAGGUUUGGGCCUGGGAACAACACCCACCCCAGUGGCAAGAUUGAUGUCAAAUCCACAGGAUGGCCACAGGUGUGUUCAGAAGAGGACCUGCCGGGCUGAGAUGGUUGUCAGCUUUUGACUAUUCCUAUCAGAACAAUGAGAAAGCUUGAGGAGGAAAUCUAAAUAAACACUCUACAUGAUGAGGGAGGAAAAGCAAGCCUGAAACAAUAUCCCAACUCCAGAAGGAGAGGUCGAAGGUCUGACCCCAACUUACUCAAAGGUUUUCAUGAGCCGCAGGCUCCUUCGCCUUCAUGCCCCUCUUCUUUCACAAAAAAAGUAUUAAAAAUUAUAUUUUACAACUGCAUUAGUAUAUAGACAAAUAUAUUAAUGUUACACAUUAAAACCUGUUCUUUGACUCAAAAAAAACUUUUUUAUUGUAUUAUUUUUACUUUUUAGAAACAGGCUCUCUCUUCUGCCCAGGCUAGCGUGCAGUGAGUUCUGAUUGUGCUACUGCAACCUUGAACCCCUGGACUCAAGGGAUCCUCCCACCCAGCCUCCCAAAGCACUGGGAUCACAGGCAUGAGCCACCG